GUCUACAGCCAUACCACCCUGAACACGCCCUGUCUCAUCUGGAUUUGAAGCUAAGUAGGGUUGGGCCUGGUGAGUACAUGGAUGGAAGACAGAUCUUCAGAAUAGACUGCUCAGAGACA
rnacentral:rRNA from 1 species